ACUAGAAGAAAAGCACCUAUACCUAACAAAAUUAAGUGAAUACCCAAAAUGGUAGUCAUUUUAUUUCUAUCUUUCCA
rnacentral:antisense_RNA from 1 species